rnacentral:rRNA from 1 species
UACGGGGGGGGGCAAGCGUUGUUCGGAAUUACUGGGCGUAAAGGGCUCGUAGGUGGCCAACUAAGUCAGACGUGAAAUCCCUCGGCUUAACCGGGGAACUGCGUCUGAUACUGGAUGGCUUGAGUUCGGGAGAGGGAUGCGGAAUUCCAGGUGUAGCGGUGAAAUGCGUAGAUAUCUGGAGGAACACCGGUGGCGAAGGCGGCAUCCUGGACCGACACUGACACUGAGGAGCGAAGCCAGGGGAGCAAACGGG